rnacentral:piRNA from 1 species
UUCGUGCAGUGAUACUAAGGGUUGGGCAGU